UACGGGGGGGGGAAGCGUUGUUCGGAAUUACUGGGCGUAAAGGGCUCGUAGGCGGCCAACUAAGUCAGACGUGAAAUCCCUCGGCUUAACCGGGGAACUGCGUCUGAUACUGGAUGGCUAGAGGUUGGGAGAGGGAUGCGGAAUUCCAGGUGUAGCGGUGAAAUGCGUAGAUAUCUGGAGGAACACCGGUGGCGAAGGCGGCAUCCUGGACCAAUUCUGACGCUGAGGAGCGAAAGCCAGGGGAGCAAACGGG
rnacentral:rRNA from 1 species